AUGAUUUAUAAGAUAGAAAUUCAUAUCACUUAUAUCAGAUGCAUAAGGGGAAAUAACUCUCAUAUGGAGCGGUCAUAUCGCUUCGGUCCAAAUAAGACAAAUCAUGCGAAGGAUAUAACGAGCAAUUUUGUAAAAUAAAUUUGUCAUAAUCUUUUACGGUUGCGAAGGAGAUGCGCUAACAAGGAAAACAGUGUUUGGGGAGAUAACUCCUACAAAGAAAAGUAUUCGUUUACGCAGGGUAAAUUUCAAAAGUGCAUAAACUGUUCGAUAUCAUAUACCAAAUAUCUAAGCGACAUAUUGCGAAACAAAUGUUUAUCGCAAGAACAAAAUUAGGCGGAAGAAAAAAAUAAUCAGAAGAAAAACAAUAGGUCUUUCCACAGAAAAGUGGAAAGACCUAAUAAA
rnacentral:lncRNA from 1 species